rnacentral:rRNA from 1 species
UCCCAGCAGUCCAAGUAGCAGCCGCUUUUAUUGGGUCUAAAACAUCCGUAGCUUGCUUCGUAAGCCUCUUGUGAAAUCCGGCAUCUUAAGUGUCGGUCGUGCAGGAGAAACUGCGUUGCUAGAGACCGGGAGACGUAAGAAGUACACAUCGGGUAGCGGUUAAAUGCGUUGAUCCAAUGCGGACUAACGAUAGCGAAGGCAUCUUACGAGAACGGAUCUGACAGUGAGGGAUGAAGGCUAGGGGCGCAAAAGG